rnacentral:rRNA from 1 species
GACGAACGCUGGCGGCGUGCUUAAUACAUGCAAGUCGAACGGAAAGGCCCUGCUUUUGUGGGGUGCUCGAGUGGCGAACGGGUGAGUAACACGUGAGUAACCUGCCCUUGACUUUGGGAUAACUUCAGGAAACUGGGGCUAAUACCGGAUAGGAGCUCCUGCUGCAUGGUGGGGGUUGGAAAGUUUCGGCGGUUGGGGAUGGACUCGCGGCUUAUCAGCUUGUUGGUGGGGUAGUGGCUUACCAAGGCUUUGACGGGUAGCCGGCCUGAGAGGGUGACCGGCCACAUUGGGACUGAGAUACGGCCCAGACUCCUACGGGAGGCAGCAGUGGGGAAUAUUGCACAAUGGGCGGAAGCCUGAUGCAGCAACGCCGCGUGCGGGAUGACGGCCUUCGGGUGGUAAACCGCUGUCGCCUGUGACGAAGCGUGAGUGACGGUAAUGGGUAAAGAAGCACCGGCUAACUACGUG